UUGAGGACACCUAAACUUCAAACUGGGAACAGAAGCAAAAAACAAACAACAUAAAUUAACAGACAAAUUAAGAAACCUAGUAGAAGACACGAGAAGCAACAUAAGACAGAACAAGUUGAAGACAAGCAGCCAGUUCGGAUCCACCAAGAGGUAGAACUGCGGGACGAGAACCUGCAGACUUCUUGCCACCACCAUGCAAAGGAUAAUCCUCUUCAGGAGCCAUAACCUUGAUGAUGAUCUUUUGUCCCUUCUCGCAG
rnacentral:misc_RNA from 1 species